rnacentral:rRNA from 1 species
GACGAACGCUGGCGGCGUGCUUAACACAUGCAAGUCGAACGGAAAGGCCCUGCUUUUGUGGGGUGCUCGAGUGGCGAACGGGUGAGUAACACGUGAGUAACCUGCCCUUGACUUUGGUAUAACUUCAGGAAACUGGGGCUAAUACCGGAUAGGAGCUCCUGCUGCAUGGUGGGGGUUGGAAAGUUUCGGCGGUUGGGGAUGGACGCGCGGCUUAUCAGCUUGUUGGUGGGGUAGUGGCUUACCAAGGAUUUGACGGGUAGCCGGCCUGAGAGGGUGACGGGCCACAUUGGCACUGAGGUACGGCCCAGACGCCUAAGGGAGGCAGCAGUGGGGAAUAGUGCAAAAUGGGCGGAAGCGUGAUGCAGCAACGCCGGGUGCGGGAGGACGGCUUUCGGGUUGGAAACCGCUUUCGCCUGUGACGAAGCGUGAGUGACGGUAAUGGGGAAAGAAAAACCGGCUAACUACGU